rnacentral:lncRNA from 1 species
UAUCAUAAUAGGAAAAUAUACAUAUUAGCAUGUUUUCGCAUUCACUGCGCACAGAAACUAUUUCAACUUCAAAUUAAGUAACAACAACUUUCCUCAAGCUAGAUUGAGAAAAGAGCAGUCAGUUUUAUCACAACAAAAAUUGCCCUUUACCUGGCACAUAGCUCAGCAACGACAGAUGAGGAAAUAAGCAACCCCUGAGGAAAGCCCACUACACCGGUUUGUUUGGAUAAGUUAAUAUGGCAAUGGGAACAAAGUCGUCCAGAAUGGAUGAACAGAGCAAAGGGGAAGACAAAGAUGGAGCGCCAUGCAAAACUCCAUUACUUUCACACUGCUCUGAUGAGGCUGAGGUCAAAGCCUGCACUAUUCUUCUUUCCCCUGCAGUACAGCCUGGGCAGGUCCAGGCAGCAGGUGAAAAUGAAGAAAAGAUAAGCCUGGAGUCCUAAGCCUGAAGGGUGGACUCCUUGGAAGAAUCAAAGAGUGAGGCAAGAAUGUCGCCUUGGCUCUUUAUUUCGGAAUCCCUAGAGGGAAUGCAAAUUGUCCUGAGGGCCAAUUACCUGAAAUAGUGUUUCAAGAGUAAAAACACUGGUAGAUAUUUUAAAUAUGGAAAGAUUGAACUUUUAAUGGUUGAACAAAACCAUGUUCUUG